ensembl:lncRNA
CCACCCGGACAGACAUUUUUAUGGAAAGCCAUUAGAAGUUUGGGGCUUGCAGGGAACAGACACGUCAUACCCAGCAUCAUUUCUGCCAGUUGAGCGCAUUGCUAGAAGAUGUGUGGUUAAUACAUCCUCUGUGCAUUUAAGUAGGACCAAAGAAAAGCUCACUGUAGUCCUGCCACUAUGCACUGUAGCUCUAGGAGACUGUGAUCUCUGCAGACCCCUCAUGCUGAUUCAAAUGUUGUUUGCAUGGAAUGCUCAUUUUGCCUCGAUUAAAACUCUUUUUAAAGAAGUUAUUUUGUGUAUGUUUUUUACAUUACUGUGUACACCAUUAGCAAUGGCAAAUGUUAUCUAGCAUAUUUGAAUUAAAUAAAUCAAUUUAAGCUAAAAUGUAAGAGUGUAUAAUUAGGCUACUGAGCCUGAUCUAUUUGUACCAGAGAUUUUCUUACCUUUUAAAAAAAUGUCACCUGAGCUAAAACUCCCUCUGCAACCCUGAUUUUGCAUUUGUAUAGCUCACAGCAUUUUCAUUUACAUGUCAAAGCCUCCCCUAGAAUUAGGAGGAGGGGGGUCAUGGGGGGACAACUGCCAAGGGAGGCCCACAUCAAUUUACGGCAGUCUUCGGCGUUGCCCGCAAAUUGCCGUGAACAGCCGUAAACCUGAAAUUCCACGACAAUCUACAGUGACGCAUACUGACGAAAAUCCCACUUUUCAUGCAGUGUUUCUUCCCGUCGGCUCUGACGUUCCACCAGUCACUUUCUUUCACAUUGCACAUGUCACUUUCAGUUCGCUGGUGCACUUUUUUUUGAAUUUUUUUAUAUUUUUAACUUUAAACUUUCAUUCCUUUAUUUUGAACUCCCCCAUAGCCUAAUACUACUAACCCAUAGCAUUUUGUGGGUGUGCAGCUGUCUCAAUGAAAAGAAAACCUUCCAAAGUCUUUCAUCAUAGAUGAGAUGAUCCUUAUGGGAACUACAUUCAAAAGUUUAAGAAAAGCUCAAAAAGGGCCUUGUCAGUACAAUAAGUAAAACACACAAUUUAUAUAUUAGUGACAAAAUAAUAAUGUCAGAAGCUUGUACUUGCUGGCACAAGCACAUUUAUUAUGAUAGUUACCCUCAGCUCACUUCUUUUGACUAAAUAAUCCCCAGAAUGAGAGACAGUUCAGCAUUCACAUAAUGGCCACCAGAGAGCAGGCUCCAAUGUGUGUGUUGAGGUUUGCAUGUAUGAGCAUCUUUAUGUGCAUGUAAAGGCCUGUUUGUGCAGUUGUGGUAGUGUGUGGGGGAAACUCUCACCCUCGGUGUUGAGUUUAACAUCUUGGUGCCGUCCAAGAGCCAUAGUAUUUAAUGAGAUGGCACCGUGACGAGUCAAUUAAAUAACUACAAGACUCGUUCUGAGGACACCAAGGUUAGUUUUCUGUGUGUAGUUGAUGUUGUACGUCAUGUACACAGUUUAAGUAACAAACUGAUUUUAAACCAAACCAUAAUCUUUUCAAGCUAACCAGUUUAUUUCAGUCUAGAAUGUUAACCAUGUUUUUGACGUACAUUGUGCACCUGUUGCUUGUAGACUUACACUCUGUUACGUUCCAGCUCCCAAAAGGGAGGGGAACAUGACAACCCACUGCUCCGGCCCACCGGUACCAGCAAAAGGGGUAUGGAGUCGCGGUGCGAGAAAAGGACAAACACCAAAUACAGUAUAACGCUUUUACAAAUUACAAAAAUAAAUUAGACAUAAAUAAACAAUAACUUUCUGGGGAAAGGGGAGGGCCGGCCGGACCAAAACAAAGAAAUAAACAAAAAGGUCCCCACCCCUAACCUGUACUAACCCCCAAUUGAAAACACAAUAUCUACCUGGCACACGGUCAAGGCGCCCUAACCAAACGUACAGGUGGUGGUCCGCUCAGGUCUAAACUGGUGUUUCUAGACAGAAGUAAACCUACGGGUGAUUUAUACCCCGGGGUAGCUCUAAAUCUACUCCCCACUCCCUGUGAACCAAAGAGGAAACAAAUAAUUAAUCAAAUGACACAAACAAACAAUUGCUCCCUCCUGCUGCUACACAUUCCAAAAGAAACACAAGUUAUCUAACACUAAUCACAAUUGAAUAUAUCCUCACACAGGGUACAAACCAAAGGCAACAUAUGGGAAUAUACAGCGACCAUGCAGCGCCCCAAACUGGUCCAAAACUGGGCUUUUUAAAGAGCCCAGCCAGCUGCAACCACUGACGAGGGGGGUGGAGCUCCGGGUCCCAAUCCUACCUGGAAAACACACACACACGCAACUACAAGUAAGUAAUCGGAAUCAUUAUACGAACCCAGACUUCUGGGGGCGUAACAAUGUGUUUGCCACAAAUUGUGCUUCUUCACCGUCAAUUUUGUUGUU